rnacentral:rRNA from 1 species
UACGUAGGUGGCAAGCGUUGUCCGGAAUUAUUGGGCGUAAAGCGCGCGCAGGCGGUUCCUUAAGUCUGAUGUGAAAGCCCCCGGCUCAACCGGGGAGGGUCAUUGGAAACUGGGGAACUUGAGUACUGAAGAGGAAAGCGGAAUUCCACGUGUAGCGGUGAAAUGCGUAGAGAUGUGGAGGAACACCAGUGGCGAAGGCGGCUUUCUGGUCAGUAACUGACGCUGAGGCGCGAAAGCGUGGGGAG